rnacentral:rRNA from 1 species
AUUGAACGCUGGCGGCAGGCCUAACACAUGCAAGUCGAGCGGAUGGGCGGACGGGUGCGUAAUGCAUAGGAAUCUGCCUGGUCCUGGGGGAGUAGGUUCGCAAAUGGGCGCUGAAACUGCAUACUCUCAGCUUAGCCUAGGUCGGAUUAGCUAGUUGGUGGGGUAAAGGCCUACCCAGGCGACGAUCCCUAACUGGUCUGAGAGGAUGAUCAGUCACACUGGAACUGAGACACGGUCCAGACUCCUACGGGAGGCAGCAGUGGGGAAUAUUGGACAAUGGGCGAAAGCCUGAUCCAGCCAUGCCGCGUGUGUGAAGAAGGUCUUCGGAUUGUAAAGCACUUUAAGUUGGGAGGCGUUACCAACAGAAUAAGCACCGGCUAACUUCGUGCCAGCCGCCGCGGUAAUAC